AACUCAGCGGGCUUUUUCAAAUUGAAGAUUCUGAAUUUCUAAUUGCUAAUAUAAAUACAUUUGGCUUAUACAGAUCUUAUAGACAAGAACCCUUUUAAAUUCAUGGAUUCAGGAGUUCCCUUGUGGCAUAGCGGGUUAAAGAGCUGGCAUUGUCACUGCAGCAGCUCAGGUCGCUGCUGUGGCACAGGUUCAACCCCUGUUCCAGGAACUUCCACAUGCCUGCUGAAAGCACAGCCAAAAAUAAUUUUUAAAAAAUAGAUAGGGAGUUCCUGUUGUGGCUCAGUGGAAACGAACCCAACUAGUAUCCAUGAGGAUGUGGGUUCCAUCCCUGGCCUCACUCUGGGGGUUAAGGACCUAGGAUAGCCACAGCUGUGGGGUAGGUCACAGGUGUGCCUCAGAUCCUGUGUUGCUGUGGCUGUGGUGCAGUCCAGCAGCUGUAGCUCUGAUUUGACUCCUAGCCUCUGAACUUCCAUAUGCUGCGGGCGCGACCCUAAAAAAGCCAAAAAUCAAAGCCAUAGCUAGAAUGAUAAAUUCACACUUUCUUUCCAAUAGUGCUUUCUGCAUUAGUCGGGUUCUUUACUGAUGAGACACAAUGGGAACUCCCUAGAAAUUUUCUUUUAUUGUCUCCUGUGUAUGCUGGUAACGUUUAUGAAGAGUCCUCAGGAUUUUCUACGUAGACAAACAUGCUUUUGCAAAUAAAGACAGCUUUACUUCUUGCUUUCUGAUCUGCAUGCCUUUUAUUUCUUUUCUUGCCUAUUUGCCCGGUAAAAGGAGCAGAAAUAGGCAGCCUUGCCUUGGGGAAGCGCUAGUCUUUCACCUUGAAAUGCCCUCUUAGCCAUAGGGUUUUCACACAUUGCCUUGUGGGUGUGGGGAAGGUCACUUCUGAUACUGAUUUGCAAGGAGGGUUUAUGUGGAUUGAGUCAGAUUUUGUCAGUGGCUUUUCAGCCUCUAUUGCAAUGAGCAUAUUUUCUCCCCUUUAUUUGCUUAUUUUAUUUUUUAUUUUAUUUUAUUUUUCCGGUCAGGUCAGGAGCAUGGCCAGGCCAGCUGCUGCGACUGCGACCCUAGACCACGGGCUCCAGGGAAAGCUGCACUUCCCCGAGCAGCCGGAAGAGGGCGGCAUCGCGCCAGGAGUCCUGGCGGCCGCGCGCGGGCAGGUGCCCCUGCGCCCACCUGGGGGGAGACACUGCAGGGAGAAGGGUUGAAGGGAGAGGAAAGCCGUCUCUUGAAGAAGGUCCCGGAAAACCAACUAGGAAGAAAGAAUGAAUCUGCCUUAUCUGAAUUAAAACGUUUGAAAAUAUGAACGAACACCUUGCAUCAGACGUUCAGCGCCUCAAAACAAAAACAGGCAAUAAAAAGAAGACACGAAAUGAGAAUUCCAUUUGUAGAUGAUAUGACCGUGUACCUGGAAAUCCUAGAGAAUAAAGAAUAAAAGGAACAGUUUUGGAAAACAGCCAGUAAUGAGUCAGGAUGCAAAGUAAGCACAUAAAAUUUGUCGCCAUCAGAGGGAGCCCGGGAUUUGAGAGGAUGAAGCAGUCUGGCGGUCAGAUGCUCCCACUGGACCAAGAAGAAAAAACCAGGCCACCUGCAGGUGUCACAUGUCAACGUGUUGGGGACCUGAGAGGGACAAGGACGGUGGACUUGCCGGCACAAGCGUGGCUGAGGGGCCAGGGACUGGCUUGGCCUGCGCAGGCCGAGUUCUGGGAAAGCGAACCUGGUGAGAACCCGGCAGCCCCCCUCGCGUUUCCCCACGUGGAUGCGGGCGGAGCCCCAGCAGCAGGUGGCGGCCCCCACGUGGGGGUGGGUCCAAGGCAGCAGGCACCCGAGUCUCAGGAGCGGGGUCCCCACCAGAGGAAAGAGGCCCCCUGCAGACACACAGCUGCCGUUGCUCUGAAAAGACUGGCCAGGGUUCGAGCUGGAGUGGGAGGCUUGGAAGCGGAGCCCAGAGACGCAGAAGGCCUCUGUCACCGUUGCAGGCAGAGGAGCCGGGCUGCCCGGGGGCUGGGAGGAGGGAGCAGGAGGUUGUAUAUGCGUCUUUCAAAGCCACACUCCGUUUAGCCUGGGUGAGCAAUGAGGUCCUGCUGGACAGCGCAGGGAACUAGAUCCGGUCUCUUGGGCUAGAACACGAUGGAAGAGAGUGCGAGAAAGAGAACGUAUAUACAUGUGUGCCUGGGCCACUUUGCUGCACAGCAGACACUGACGCAGCUUGUAAAUCAGCUGUACUUACAUAAGAUAAAAUGCACUCUACUCUAAAACAAGUAAAUACAUAAAUAAACCUGCAGUCCAGCCCGAGCGAGCUCAACUUCUGGCAAAGUGACCUGAUGAAUACCUGACACACUUGGAGCCAAAAACAGAGGAAAGGAGGCCGCCUCUCCUCAGGGUCGUGGGUGGCGCCUCUGGCUCUUAUUCAGGCCGUGCCCAGAUGUGCCCACUAACAAGGCGGGAGGAAAACCGCGGACACAGACCAGUAGGUGGCCCUGACAGUGGAGUCACCCUAAAAGGACUUUAACUGUGACCAGUGGGUUCAGUAAUAGAAUUCAGGAGUUCCCGUUGGGGUUCAGCAGGUUAUGAACCCACCAGUAUCCACGAGGACACACGGGUCCCACCCCUGGCCUCACUCAGUGGGUUAGGGAUCCUGAGGGGCUGUGGCUGUGGGGCAGGCCGGCAGCUGCAGCUCUGAUUGGACCCCUAGUCUGGGAACCUCCAUAUCCUGCGGGUGCGGCCCUAAAC
rnacentral:lncRNA from 1 species